rnacentral:lncRNA from 1 species
GCUUCUCUGACGCAGGCAGAUUUUUGCACCAACAGGAUUGGCGCUAGAGGAAGGGGGGCGAACCUUCGCAGUACCCUUGUUCUUAAAGGAGCGCUCAACGGGACCGCCUUUGGUCAUCUUUUCCGAUGUCCUCUCCUCCUCCCCCCACUAGAUCUUCGCCUGAUGCCUCCCCGCAAAGCAUCCAUGCGGCGAUCUACGACCUCCGCGGUCAGAUCUCAGGCUCCAACCUCGCCCCCAGUUUCCCAGCCUCCUCCUCCUCCGGCAACGACGGUUGGCGUGGAGCAAUUCGACCUACUGGUGCAGCAGGUCAGAGGCCUCACUGAAGCUGUGCAGGCCAUACAACAGCAACAGCAGCCGCAGGCAUCAGC